UGCAUUGGAUUGAGAACAAUGUACAACUCUUAUCGAUAAGCCAUUGGAGGGCAAGUCUGGUGCCAGCAGCCGCGGUAAUUCCAGCUCCAAUAGCGUAUAUUAACGUUGUUGCAGUUAAAAAGCUCGUAGUUGAAGUGUGGGUGAUGCUGGUUGAGAAACUUCGGUCUCUCGAAAGAACACCACCCCCUUCCAGUAUCCAGUAGUGGGUAUUCAGUUACUUACUAUUGUGUGUUGGUCGUUUACUGUGAGAAAAUUAGAGUGUUCAAAGCAGGCGUUUGCUUGAAUAGAUUAGCAUGGAAUAAUAAUUGAAGGCUUUCGUGUUCGAUUUGAUUGGUUUGUUCAUGGAAGCAAGGUUAAAAGGAACAGUUGGGGGUAUUCAUAUUCACUAGUUAGAGGUGAAAUUCUCGGAUUUAUGGAAGAUGAACAAGUGCGAAAG
rnacentral:rRNA from 1 species